rnacentral:rRNA from 1 species
UGCAAGUCGAGCGGUAACACAAGGGAGCUUGCUUCUGAGGUGACGAGCGGCGGACGGGUGAGUAAUGCCUAGGGAUCUGCCCAGUCGAGGGGGAUAACAGUUGGAAACGACUGCUAAUACCGCAUACGCCCUACGGGGGAAAGGAGGGGACCUUCGGGCCUUCCGCGAUUGGAUGAACCUAGGUGGGAUUAGCUAGUUGGUGAGGUAAUGGCUCACCAAGGCGACGAUCCCUAGCUGUUCUGAGAGGAUGAUCAGCCACACUGGGACUGAGACACGGCCCAGACUCCUACGGGAGGCAGCAGUGGGGAAUAUUGCACAAUGGGGGAAACCCUGAUGCAGCCUGCCGCGUGUGUGAAGAAGGCCUUCGGGUUGUAAAGCACUUUCAGUACGGAGGAAAGGUAA